UACGGAGGAUCCAAGCGUUGUCCGGAAUCAUUGGGUUUAAAGGGUCCGUAGGCGGGCAGUUAAGUCAGUGGUGAAAGUCCUCCGCUCAACGGGGGAACUGCCAUUGAUACUGAUUGCCUUGAGUUAUUAUGAAGUGGUUGGAAUGAGUAGUGUAGCGGUGAAAUGCAUAGAUAUUACUCAGAACACCGAUUGCGAAGGCAGAUCACUAAUAAUGGACUGACGCUGAUGGACGAAAGCGUAGGUAGCGAACAGG
rnacentral:misc_RNA from 1 species